GUGGCAGGCUGUAGUCCUGCUAACAUGGGUUUAAAUCCUGUUUCUACC
rnacentral:tRNA from 1 species